CUACAGCCUGUCAGGAAAUUAUUAAGUGAAUAGGUUUAGGCUGAAGUGCAACUGUGGUAAUCAUUAGUUAAAUCCCUUAUACCCUUAAUCUGCCUUCACUAAUCAAGGUCAUUUUAAUAGUUGUUAAAAAGACUUGCAGGUCCUCUAAGCUGCAAGUAGUAUAAACAAUAAGAUGUUUGCUCAAGUUGUUUUCCAGCAAUUGGGGUCAGGCCUGUCUAGUUUGAACUGAGCUGGUUGAGACUGGAUAGGACCACCCACCCUCUAACUAGGCAAACCUGACUCUGUUGGGUGACCUUUUGAUGUGAGAGGGCUGAAAACUCCACCCUCAGGUUGUUCUAAGUGCCUCAUUUUAUAACAUGCAGAGGCCUUGUGUCUUAGUUACACCUGUACAGAUUGACAAUCACCACGUUUUUUUCAAUCAUGCUCAAUCACCACAUUUUUUUUCAAUCACGCUCCCAUGCCUCUCACCGGUCUUGCUCUUUUAGUCUUUAUCUCAUAAAUACCCAGAGUCCCUUGCCUUUGAGGGGUGGAUUUGAGACUGGUGUUCUGUCUACACUCUGGCUGCCUUGUGAAAAACCCUGUUUCCUGCAAACCUCGACCUCUCAGUGUUUUUACUUGCUGCUCCUCAGGCAAAAUGAGCCUGGUUCUGUAACAAACAUAACUGGGGAGUUGAAUUCUCUUUAAAAAAAAAAAAGGAGUUUGAGUUGAUGACCAAAGGAACCCAAGAAAAGAGCAGGCAUAAGGAAAUGAGGCCAUGACCAGGUGGAAUAGACUGCUGCUGGAAGUUCUGGAAGCUGUGGAGCAACUUGCAGCCCAGAGAGACCUCACGGGAGGAGAGAGGAUCUAGCCCAUGAUUUGGCUGUGAGAAACAUAAAACAUUUGUGGAAUGAAUUUGGCUACUACUUAAGCAUUUCCAAGCCAGGUUCCCACUAAGGAAAUCAAAGAAGCAGCUAUUCUUGAAUGAUCGACUAUAGGAAAUGACUCAACGCAGUUAAGGUUUCCAUUUCUACCGGGACCUCGAUCAACUUAGAAGGCUCAGGAAAAGGCAAGACCCCUAACCUGGGAGUCCCAGCACAAGUUCAAGCC